AUGGCCGGAAAAGGAGACGGGCCGGCGAUCGGCAUCGACCUCGGCACGACCUACUCCUGCGUCGGCGUCUGGCAGCAUGACCGGGUGGAGAUCAUCGCCAACGACCAGGGCAACCGCACCACGCCGUCCUAUGUCGCCUUCACCGACACCGAGCGGCUCAUCGGCGACGCCGCCAAGAACCAGGUCGCCAUGAACCCGAUCAACACCGUCUUCGAUGCGAAGCGGCUCAUCGGCCGGCGUUUCUCGGACUCGUCGGUGCAGAGCGACGCCAAGCUGUGGCCGUUCAAGGUGAUCCCCGGCCCCGCUGACAAGCCGAUGAUCGGGGUACAGUACAGAGGCGAGGACAAGCAGUUCUCGGCCGAGGAGAUCUCCUCCAUGGUGCUCAACAAGAUGAAGGAGACGGCCGAGGCCUACCUCGGCACAACCAUCAAGAACGCAGUCGUCACCGUCCCCGCCUACUUCAACGACUCCCAGCGCCAGGCCACCAAGGAUGCAGGCGUCAUCUCUGGCCUCAACGUCAUGCGGAUCAUCAACGAGCCUACCGCCGCCGCCAUCGCCUACGGUCUUGACAAGAAGUCCACCAGCGUCGGCGAGAAGAACGUGCUCAUCUUUGAUCUCGGCGGCGGUACCUUCGAUGUCUCCCUCCUCACCAUUGAGGAGGGUAUCUUCGAGGUCAAGGCCACUGCCGGAGACACCCACCUGGGAGGCGAGGACUUCGACAACCGGAUGGUCAAUCACUUCGUGCAGGAAUUCAAGAGGAAGAACAAGAAGGACAUCAGCGGCAACCCGAGGGCGCUCCGGCGGCUCAGGACAGCGUGCGAGAGGGCGAAGAGGACACUCUCCUCCACCGCCCAGACCACCAUCGAGAUCGAUUCCCUCUUCGAGGGCAUCGACUUCUACACUACCAUCACCCGCGCCCGGUUCGAGGAGCUCAACAUGGACCUCUUCCGCAAGUGCAUGGAGCCCGUUGAGAAGUGCCUCCGGGACGCCAAGAUGGACAAGAGCACCGUGCACGACGUUGUCCUCGUCGGAGGAUCCACACGUAUCCCCCGUGUGCAGCAGCUCCUCCAGGACUUCUUUAACGGGAAGGAGCUCUGCAAGAGCAUCAACCCUGACGAGGCCGUCGCGUACGGAGCCGCCGUUCAGGCUGCCAUCCUCACUGGCGAGGGCAACGAGAAGGUGCAGGACUUGCUCCUGCUUGACGUCACGCCGCUCUCGCAGGGCCUGGAGACGGCCGGAGGCGUCAUGACCGUGCUGAUCCCGAGGAACACGACAAUCCCCACCAAGAAGGAGCAGGUCUUCUCCACCUACUCUGACAACCAGCCCGGCGUGCUCAUCCAGGUGUAUGAGGGCGAGAGGGCGAGGACCAAGGACAACAACCUGCUCGGCAAGUUCGAGCUCUCUGGGAUCCCACCGGCGCCCAGGGGUGUCCCCCAGAUCACCGUGUGCUUUGACAUUGAUGCCAACGGUAUCCUGAACGUCUCGGCGGAGGACAAGACCACUGGGCAGAAGAACAAGAUCACAAUUACCAACGACAAGGGGCGUCUGAGCAAGGAGGACAUCGAGAAGAUGGUGCAGGAGGCCGAGAAGUACAAGGCUGAGGACGAGGAGCACAAGAAGAAGGUGGACUCCAAGAACGCCCUGGAGAACUACGCUUACAACAUGCGUAACACCAUCAAGGAUGACAAGAUCGCCUCCAAGCUUCCCGAGGCCGACAAGAAGAAGAUCGAGGAUGCUAUUGACGGUGCCAUCACCUGGCUCGACAACAACCAGCUCGCUGAGGCUGAAGAGUUUGAUGACAAGAUGAAAGAGCUGGAGGGCAUUUGCAACCCCAUCAUCGCCAAGAUGUACCAGGGGGCCGGCGCUGAAAUGCCUGGUGGUAUGGAUGAGGAUGCUCCGGCCAGUGCCGCAGGCGGCAGCAGCGGCCCAGGGCCCAAGAUUGAGGAGAAAUUCUUAAUCCCGAGAUAG
rnacentral:rRNA from 1 species